rnacentral:rRNA from 1 species
UACGUAGGGGGCGAGCGUUGUCCGGAUUCAUUGGGCGUAAAGCGCACGUAGGCGGCCCCGCAAGUCGGCCGUGAAAUCUCCGGGCUCAACUCGGAGGGGUCGGGCGAGACUGCGGAGCUCGAGGUGGGCAGAGGGCAGUGGAAUUCCGGGUGUAGUGGUGGAAUGCGUAGAGAUCCGGAGGAACACCAGUGGCGAAGGCGGCUGCCUGGGCCUGGCCUGACGCUGAGGCGCGAAAGCGUGGGGAGCGAUCCGG